UACGGAGGGUGCGAGCGUUGUUCGGAAUUACUGGGCGUAAAGCGCGCGCAGGCGGCUAUCCAAGUCAGUGGUGAAAGCCCGGAGCUCAACUCCGGAAUUGCCAUUGAAACUGUUUAGCUUGAGGAUGAGAGAGGUGAGUGGAAUUCCCAGUGUAGAGGUGAAAUUCGUAGAUAUUGGGAAGAACACCGGUGGCGAAGGCGGCUCACUGGCUCAUUACUGACGCUCAGGCGCGAUAGCGUGGGGAUCAAACAGG
rnacentral:rRNA from 1 species